AUGCAAGGGCCAGGAGUUCCUCAGUUCCAACCACAGAAUGCCUUACAACCGGAUAUGGGCUAUAACACAUUAGCCAACUUUCGAAUAGAAAAGAAAAUUGGUCGUGGACAAUUUAGUGAAGUUUAUAGAGCAACCUGUCUCUUGGAUGGAGUACAAGUACCUUUAAAAAAAAGUACAGAUAUUUGAUUUAAUGGAUGCCAAAGCACAUGCUGAUUGCAUCAAAGAAAUAGAUCUUCUUAAGCAAAUGUAAUAAAAUAUUACUCCUCAUUCAUUGAAGAUAAUGAACUAAACAUAGUGUUGGAACUGGCAGAUCUUGGUGACCUAUCCAGAAUGAUAAAGCAUUUUAAGAAGCAAAAGAAGCUAAUUCCUGAAAGAACUCUCUGGAAAUACUUUGUUCAGCUUUGCAGUGCAUUGGAACACAUGCAUUCUCAAAGAGUCAUGCAUAGAGAAUGAACCAGCCAAUGUGUUCAUUACAGCCACUGGGGUGGUAAAACUUGGAGAUCUUGGGCUUGGCCAGUUUUUCAGCUCAAAAACCACAGCUGCGCAUUCUUUAGUUGGUACGCUUUAUUACAUGUCUCCAGAGAGACUACAUGAAAAUGGAUACAACUUCAAAUCUGACAUCUGGCCUCUUGGCUGUCUACUAUAUGAGAUGGCUGCAUUAGAGUCCUUUCUAUGGUGACAAAAUGAAUUUAUACUCGCUGUGUAAGAAGACAGAACAGUGUGACUACUCACCUCUUCCUUCAUAUCACUAUUCAGAAGAACUAUGACAGUUAGUUAAUAUGUGCAUCAACCCAGAUCCAGAGAAGCGACCAGACGUCACCUAUGUUUAUGAUGUAGCAAAGAGGAUACAUGCCUGCACUGCAAGCAGCUAAACAUGCAAUAUCAUGAAAAGUGUAACCAAAGCAAUUUAAAGUAUUUUGUGCAAGUCAUACCUCCCCAUUUAUGUCUGGUGUUAAGAUUAAUAUUUCAGAGCUAGUGUGCAUUGAAUCCUUAACCAGUUUUCAUAUAAGGUUCACUUUGUACCAGUCACCUAAAUCACCUCUUUGCAACACCCAAAUGACUUUGGAAUAACGGAAUUGCAUGUUAGGAAAGAAAAUGAAACAUGAUGGUUUUGAAUGGCUAAAGGUUUUUAGAAUUACUUACAGUUUUCUGCUGAUAAAUUGUGUUCAGAUAGGCUAUCAGUGCCAAAUUGAAGGUGCAGCUUGGCACACAUCAGGGUAGACUCAGACCUGAGAAAAAGUAUCUGAACAUGUGACUGGUUUCUUUUUUAGUAAUUUAUGGACAUUAAGGUGGACCCACAAUUGUGAACUUUUGUCAUGAUUUUAUUUUUAAAUGUUUGAAGUACUAGUUUUAGUUCUUAAGAGUAGUUUUCAAAUAUAAUUCGUAUGAUAAAUGUAGACAUAAACUAUCUGAGAAACAUUUAAAACUCUUAGCUUAUACAUUCAAAAUACAACUAUUAAACGUGAAAAGAUUUGGGAACAAAAUGAGUCAGACACUGAAGAGUUCUUGGUUUUGUUUUAGUAUUUUUGAUAUUAUCUUUGCAUUGAAAUGGUAUAAAUGAAUCCAUUUAGAAAGUGGUUAAGGAUUUGUUUGGCUGUUGUGAUAAUAAUUUUUAAAGUGGCACAUUGCCCAAGGCUUUCUUUGUGUGAUUUUAUUAUUGU